AAAAACAUGUCUUUUUAGUUAUUUAAUAUAAAGUCUGACCUGCCCACUGAAUUUAUUUUUGAAGGGCCGCAGUAUUUUGACUGUGCAAAGGUAGCAUAAUCAUUAGUCUUUUAAUUGAAGGCUGGUAUGAAUGGUUGGAUGAGGUACAAGCUGUGUCAUAAAAAUUAAUAUUUGAAUUUAACUUUUUAGUCAAAAGGCUAAAAUUUAAUUGAAAGACGAGAAGACCCUAUAGAGCUUUAUAUAAUGAUUAUUUAAUUUAUUAAGAUUUAUUAAAUUUAAUUAUUUUAUUAUAUUUUGUUGGGGUGACAAUAAAAUUUAAAAAACUUUUAUUAUUAUUUUACAUUUAUUUAUGAUUUUAUGAUCCAGUUUUAUUGAUUAUAAAUUUAAGUUACCUUAGGGAUAACAGCGUAAUUUUUUUUGAGAGUUCAUAUCGACAAAAAAGAUUGCGACCUCGAUGUUGGAUUAAGAGUAAUUUUGGGUGUAGAAGUUCAAAGUUUAAGUCUGUUCGACUUUUAAAUUCUUACAUGAUCUGAGUU
rnacentral:rRNA from 1 species